AGAGUUUGAUCAUGGCUCAGGACGAACGCUGGCGGCGUGCUUAACACAUGCAAGUCGAACGGUGAACCAGAGCUUGCUCUGGGGAUCAGUGGCGAACGGGUGAGUAACACGUGGGCAACCUGCCCCAGACUCUGGGAUAACCUCGGGAAACCGAUGCUAAUACCGGAUACGACCACUUCGGACAUCCGACGGUGGUGGAAAGUUUUUCGGUCUGGGAUGGGCCCGCGGCCUAUCAGCUAGUUGGUGGGGUAAUGGCCUACCAAGGCGACGACGGGUAGUCGGCCUGAGAGGGCGACCGGCCACACUGGAACUGAGACACGGUCCAGACUCCUACGGGAGGCAGCAGUGGGGAAUAUUGCACAAUGGGCGAAAGCCUGAUGCAGCGACGCCGCGUGAGGGACGACGGCCUUCGGGUUGUAAACCUCUUUCAGCAGGGACGAAGCGAAAGUGACUGUACCUGCAGAAGAAGCACCGGCUAACUACGUG
rnacentral:rRNA from 1 species